GGCGGGCGCGGGGCCCCGCACAAAGGAGCCGGCAAAGCUAAAGGGGCUGGCACCGCAGCAGGGGUGCGGAGAGGGACUGGGGGCGGGUGAGUACUGCUCCCGCAGCUCUGCUGGCCCUCUCUCUGCCCCGAGCUGUGCCUGGACAAUCCUCCUCGUCCUCCCGGCCCCCGCUCGCCAAUGCUGUGGCCUGCACCUGCAUCGCUCUCUGGGAACCUCGGAGACCUCAACUCCUUCGUACUGGUCUUACCCCUUCGUACUGGUCGGGGUUUACUGCAGGUCCACCUCCCCUAGGCCAUGGCCAGGUGGGGGAAGGUCACUCCAGGACGCUAGUGACUCUGCCCAGCUCUGCUCCGCCUCUCUGCUUAUGCACCUGCCGCCCCCUCGCACUCUCUGCCACUGCGGUUGCAGUUCCGGCCCGUCCCUCUUCUGCAGGCCAGCCCAGCGGGCAGCCUCGGUUCCUGACUCCUGGUCUGUGCUUGUGGGCGGCCUGAACCACCUCAAUCCGGACAAUUGCCAAACCCACCCUGGGCUGUAGCUGGGAACCGGUUGUGGCUCCUGCCAGUCUAGACCCCGGGGAACAAUUUAUGCACGUGACCCAGCCACCUAAGACUCUCCUGGCCCAGGUCUGUGGCUGGUAUUCCCAUUGGCUUACUGUUCUGUCUCACUGGGGGCACCCCUACCCUAUACUGUAGAAUUCUUGGAAUGACAGAGCACUUGGGAAGACCCAGCUCACAUGUCAAGAUGUCGCAGAGCACUGUGUUGGACAUGACCAUUCUUUCCAUCCUUGUUGGCUGAAAAUCCGCCCUUAUUUUCAUCCACCGAGCCCCUGAACAGCUUUCCACACAGCUCUUAUGGUGAUGACACAGCAGAAAACAUGGCGAGGCUUCUGCAGUGGCUGCAGAAAAGCCUGUCCCUGGAGCGACCUGGCCGGUCGCGCAAAGAGCUAGCUUCUUAUCAAAGACCUUCCCAACACAGAGAUGGGUUCCCAAGACACCCUGCCAUUUUCAAGGUCAAUCUUGCAGGCCCAAGGACAAAACCGAAGGGAUGCAAAAAUGAGCUUUUUCUCAUUAAUCCCACUUGCAAGACUGAAGAAAACCUUAAAAUACCCAAAAUUCAGGGGAGACAUAGCAACUGAGUCUCAUGGAGUCCACAGGGGCUGCCGACCCACUGUGUCAAGGACAACUGUGAGAGCAGCUUGUUGAGAAAGAAGUCACUCUGCUUUGCCCCUGCAGCGUUUAUUUUGGAAAAAACCCAAGUUUGUGGUUGGUAAGCUAUUAGAAGAGACUGUACCUGUAGAUUUGAUGCCACUGUCUCUAGGCAGAACUUACAUUGUGGAGGGGAUUCCGCAGACCAGACCACUGGGAGGUGUGUGUGUGUGUGUGUGUGUGUGUGUGUGUGUGUGUGUGUGUACCUCAUAUAUAUAUGAGGGAGGAAACCCCGUGGGCAGAAUCAGGAAAAAAAAAACCAUAAGGAAUAAGUAGGGUGUAAGUAGCUUCAAAAGGGAUGAGACUUGGCUGGAGUUUGAUGGUUUCUGCCUAUAAUCCCAGACUGGAGAUAGGCAGGAGGAUUACACAUCUGAGGAAGAAAGAAAAGUGAGUAAGAGGACUCUUAAGACUGAUGCGGUGACCAUUCCUCAUAGCCAGUGUACCUCAAACCCCCAGAACAGUUUGCAAACAGUUCAUCGUGGCAGGUUUUAAAUCAGAACUUUCUUUACUAUUGAGAAAGAAAGAAAGAAAGAAAGAAAGAAAGAAAGAAAGAAAGAAAGAAAGAAAGAAAGAAAGAGAGAAAGAAAGAAAGAAGAGGAAAAGAAAAAGGAAAGGAAAGAAAAGAAAAGAAAAGAAAAGAAAA
rnacentral:lncRNA from 1 species